GAUGAACGCCGGCGGUGUGCCUAAUACAUGCAAGUCGAGCGCACUGGCCCAACUGAUAUGACGUGCUUGCACUGAAUUGACGUUGGAUUACCAGUGAGCGGCGGACGGGUGAGUAACACGUGGGCAACCUGCCCUGAAGUGGGGGAUAACAUCUGGAAACAGGUGCUAAUACCGCAUAACAACGAAGACCACAUGGUUUUCGUUUCAAAGAUGGUUUCGGCUAUCACUUCAGGAUGGGCCCGCGGUGCAUUAGCUAGUUGGUAAGGUAACGGCUUACCAAGGCAAUGAUGCAUAGCCGAGUUGAGAGACUGAUCGGCCACAAUGGAACUGAGACACGGUCCAUACUCCUACGGGAGGCAGCAGUAGGGAAUCUUCCACAAUGGGCGCAAGCCUGAUGGAGCAACACCGCGUGAGUGAAGAAGGGUUUCGGCUCGUAAAGCUCUGUUGUUGGAGAAGAACGUGCGUGAGAGUAACUGUUCACGCAGUGACGGUAUCCAACCAGAAAGUCACGGCUAACUACGUGCCAGCAGCCGCGGUAAUACGUAGGUGGCAAGCGUUAUCCGGAUUUAUUGGGCGUAAAGCGAGCGCAGGCGGUUGCUUAGGUCUGAUGUGAAAGCCUUCGGCUUAACCGAAGAAGGGCAUCGGAAACCGGGCGACUUGAGUGCAGAAGAGGACAGUGGAACUCCAUGUGUAGCGGUGGAAUGCGUAGAUAUAUGGAAGAACACCAGUGGCGAAGGCGGCUGUCUGGUCUGCAACUGACGCUGAGGCUCGAAAGCAUGGGUAGCGAACAGG
rnacentral:rRNA from 1 species